GCUUAGUUAAGUAUAGACUCUUCAUGUCUGAUCUGUGCGGUCAAAUAUGCCUUUUUUUCUAGUUAUUUCAACGUCUAAAUUUAUUCAUGUCCAAACAUGUACUGUGUUGCUUAAGUAAUGUGUGUAUUGUUACCUAUUUGGGAGAUAGAUGAUUAUUAGAUAUUGUUAGUUUGAAUAUGGUUAGUAAGGUUAAGUUUCAGCUUGGCUGUGUUUGCUAUAACUUGCCUAAGUUAAUUUUUGGUCUGUAUGGGCUAAUUGUCUCAUAUUUGAUGGGCAGUACUGCAAUAAUGCUAAGUGUGGGAAAUAUGUCUGUUUGAUCCUAUUGAAUUAGACCAUGUCUAAACCCAUUACUCCUAUCUUAUGUCAACCUCUGCUGAAUCUGGUACCUUGAGAUGUCAUGUAGAUUUGAUUUGGGCUAAAUCACUGUGAAGAAUAACUUGUUUAACUUUGGCACUUUGUCUGAUAUUUGGAGUAUUUUGCUUAGUUGAUAAGUGAUGUUUGUUUAUUACUUUGCUUUGCAUUGAAACCACCUGUACACCACUUUUAGUGAAAUUUCAAAAAAAAAAAAAAAUGGCACAUGAAUCUUUUGUGGUUUUGCUUAAACUGGGAUUGUACCUUUAAAUACUAAAGUGAUUUGUCUAUGAUAACUAAGGUCUUCAUAUGCUCUUUGGAUAACUAUGAGGCUUAUGCGAUCAAUUUGAUUAAAUGGUUCCAAUUUAUAAGUCCCAGAAUUACUUUCUAAGUGUUAGGAUCCAUGUUCAAGAGUUUUUCUUAAAAAUUUGCAAUCAUGGUGUGUGGGAUUCAUGAUAGUAGUGAGGGAUCUUGUGUUUGGUGAGAUGUGAUGAAAGAAUGAGAUGUUGAACCUGUUUACAAAUUGUCUUAUGAAACAGUCUUGUGUAGGACAUGUCUCAAUUUACAAUGGCCAUAGUAUUAAUCAUUGUUGCUUAGUCUGAAAAGAAAAAUGAUUUCAAAGCUUGUUUGCCUUAUUUGUUUCUACCUUUGUCUUGCAAAUCUGUACACUUGCUUCCCUUCAUCUGUGUCUGGUUAAAAGAUUUAUUGGCAAAAUUGGGAUUUAGAGUUAGUAUAUAAUAAGUGUGUGAUCAUGGACUCAAAGGCUAAGUUGGCAAGAGGCUAUCAUUUGAUGCUAAGUAAGAAGAGAGUAGGAAUAUUUGUAAUCACCUAUUUUCUUGACAUUUGACUUAUAAAUCUUUUCCUUUUCUUGAUUCUGCUUGGUUUUGUUUAACCUCUAUAUGUGAGGGUCUAUCAUCUUUUUUAUCAUUUGCUUUGUAGAGUUGUUUGGCUUUUUCUCCAAAAAAAAAAAUGAAUGAAGGAUAUACUUAAGUAUAUAAGAUAUACUCAAAACUCUAUAUACCUCACAAGUGUAUAAAGGUUGGUAUAUCUAGCAUAUAUGGUGUAUAUCACUGCUUAAGUGUUGUAUCCCGUAUUUUUGAACGUCAGAUUAUUUGCUGAGAUGGGACCCACACAUCGAGAUUUUUUUUUGGGACAUCUGAAAACUCAUAUGAAUCACAUAUGAGAAGUUAAACACAACUCAAGAAGGACCCUUGGGCCAAAUCAAAGUGGAAGUCCUCCAAACGAAUAUUUUAAGAAAACGUUUUCGGGUGAUCUGACUUCAAGGGGCAAAAACGGUAUUAUAAGUUUGGAAUUUGGAAAAGUACCAAGAACUAGAAGUUGUAGAUCAUUGAAUUAGCUUUCCAACCAUAGGUCGUGGGUGCCCAGGUGACGUCGGUACAAGGAGAUAUGAACGUUUUAAGGUCGAAAGGUCAGUGGGCUAGGCCCAACUCGGGACCAAACCGAGUUGGCCCAAAAAAAUCAAAACAAAUAAUAAGGCCCAAAUUUGUGAGGCCCAACCGGCCAUAGUUAUGGCCCAAGCCCAUAUUAAAUAAAAUUUGGUCAAUAAAUAAGAUGACUAAGUCAUCUUAUUCCACAUAAUGUUCUAGAAAUUUCAAGAAAAGCAAGAACAAGAGAGAGAGGAGAAAAACUUAAGGCCAUUUCGGCCAAGAGCAAUUUUCACAAGAAAAAUUUGCAAAAAUUCUCCAAAAAUCAUUUUCUACCAAGUAAAGGGUGAUUAACAAGGUGGAGUUGUUGUUGGAGCAAGAAAAAUUCAAAAUCAUACAAAUUGUCAAGUUGUAGUCAAGUGAGAAGUUGAAGAAGAAAGGUGCGUUUUGAUCUUGUUUUAUGUGUUAUAUAUGGUUUAUAUGUGUUGUAGUAUGCUAAAAUGGAUGAAAUUCAUGAAGGAGAGAAAUAUAGUACAUGGCCGUGUGUAUGUAUAUAUGUGUAGGAGUCAUGCUUCAAUUAUUUUAAUUAGUGUUUGGUUGUUAUUGUUGUGAAUGAUAUGUGGAAACUGCAAGUUGAAUGAAUUUUGAGAAGUUGUAGUGUGUAUGUUGGUGUUGGCCGUGUGGUUAUGGUGAAAAAAUGGAAGAGAAUGAGUUAAUUUUAUUUAGUAUGAUGUUGUUGGAAUAUAGAUUAUGAGGUUGUUAUUGUUUUCAUUAAAGUUAGAAAGUUUUUGGAAGAAGUAGUAUGUUGAUUGAAUAUGGAAGUUGUUAGUAUUGUUGUUGUUGAAUUAUGUUAAUAGUUUGGUCGGGUUUGAAUUCCCGGAUUGUGAUUGAUGAGAAUUUGGCUAUGUUCAAUGUUGAGGAUGGUAUAUUUACAGAGGAAGUGCUGCCGAAAUUUCGGUAGCUAAGUGGUUCCUUAAGAUUCUAACUCUAAGUACCCUAAUGAAAGUUUGGGUAAAUGUGACCAAUUUGCAGAUUUUGACGAGAUUGCAACGUGAAUUCGGAAUAGCAAAAGAAGCGGAAAGAGGUCAGCAGACAGGCGGAUUUGAUACUUAGAAGCUCUACCAGCAGUGUUGACAGUGCUCCAGUUAUUCCGGAGCCUCACUUCCUUGGAAAUACUUGGGCUUGGGCGACUUCCAUUUGCAUAAACCCAUUGGGAUGAGGGCCAAAUGACUCAUUCUUGAUUGUGUCUGCAAAAAUAAAAUAGGAAGGGAAGCUAAAUUAUUUGAAGGCCCAGCUAUGAGUGAAAAUAGUCUAUUGGUGGGCUUGGUAGGCCCACCAGCCUGACUUCCUUCCUUUACAUUUUUUAUUUAGCUGUUCAUGUAUGUGUAUUUGUAAAAACUCUAAAAAUAAUGGAACCCUGUGCAUGUGUAGAACUUAGGAAAUCAACGUUUAGUGCCUUAGGAAAGUCGUCAAAACAUUUUUUUCCCUAAAGCUGGGAUAACAAACCAUUUUCAUGUGGUAAAUCAAACCUUAGAUAUUUCUUCAAAUGGCUUUAAGUAAUACUGUUUGUGGCCAAGCAGUGUAA